rnacentral:rRNA from 1 species
UACGGAGACUGCGAGCGUUACUCGGAUUUACUGGGCGUAAAGGGUGCGUAGGCGGCAAUGUGUGUCAGGUGUGAAAUCUUGGGGCUUAACCCCAAAAUUGCGCUUGAAACUGCAUUGCUAGAGUGUCGGAGGGGCAAGCGGAAUUUCGAGUGUAGCAGUGAAAUGCGUAGAUAUUCGAAGGAACGCCAAUAGCGAAGGCAGCUUGCUGGACGAUUACUGACGCUGAGGCACGAAAGCGUGGGGAGCGAAAAGG